rnacentral:rRNA from 1 species
CCUACGGGAGGCAGCAGUGAGGAAUAUUGGUCAAUGGACGAGAGUCUGAACCAGCCAAGUAGCGUGAAGGAUGACUGCCCUAUGGGUUGUAAACUUCUUUUAUAUGGGAAUAAAAUGUUCCACGUGUGGGAUUUUGUAUGUACCAUAUGAAUAAGGAUCGGCUAACUCCGUGCCAGCAGCCGCGGUAAUACGGAGGAUCCGAGCGUUAUCCGGAUUUAUUGGGUUUAAAGGGAGCGUAUGUGGAUUGUUAAGUCAGUUGUGAAAGUUUGCGGCUCAACCGUAAAAUUGCAGUUGAAACUGGCAGUCUUGAGUACAGUAGAGGUGGGCGGAAUUCGUGGUGUAGCGGUGAAAUGCUUAGAGAUCACGAAGAACUCCGAUUGCGAAGGCAGCUCACUGGACUGCAACUGACACUGAGGCUCGAAAGUGUGGGUAGCAAACAGGAUUAGAGACCCCUGUAGUC